rnacentral:lncRNA from 1 species
AUGGGAGGCAAGCUGAGCAAGAAAAAGAAGGGGUACGAUGUCAGCGACCCAAAAGACAAGAAAGAGGAGAUUACUGUGGCUGCUGUGAGUGCCGUUGAGGCCAUGGCCCAUGCCGUGGAGAGCAAAGCACCAGCUCCUGUCGCUGAGUUGGUAGCGAAGGAUGCUCCUAAGGUGUCUGCUGCGAUAGAGGGAGCAGUGGAGUUGGCAGCGGUAACCAUCACAGAAGCGACAGAAGAGGCCCUGUCAGCUAUUGAGGCUGUGGCCAAGGGGGCCACCGCAGAGCCAGUGGCUGUACUAGAUGAACCUGUGGCAGCACCGGCAGAACCAGCGCCAACAGCAGAAGAGCCCGUGGCUUCAGAAGAACCAGCUGCAGCACCAGAGGAGCCAGCACCAGCUGCAGCACCAGAAGAAUCUGCAGCCCCAGAAGAGCCAGUGUCGACACCGGAAGAACCUGCAGCAGUAGCAGAGGAACCAGCUGCAGCUCCAGAAGAGCCAGUGUCAGCACUGGAAGAACCUGCUGCAGCUGAGGAUCCAGCAGCAUCACCAGAGGAACCUGUAACAGCACCAGAUAAAACAGAGGCACCAGAAGAACCAGCGGCACUAGACGAAACAGCAGCUGCACCAAAAGAGCCUACAGUGGAAGAGCCUGUGCGAGAAGAGCCUGCGGCAGCACCAAAAGAACCUGCACCAGAAGAGCCUGCGGCAGCACCAAAAGAGCCUGCAGUGGAAGAGCCUGCGGCAGCACCAAAAGAGCAUGCACCAGGAGAGCCUGCGGCAGCACCAAAAGAGCCAGCACCAGAAAAGCCCGAGGCAGCACCAAAAGAGCCUGCACCAGAAGAGCCUGCGGCAGCCUCUGUGGGCCUAGCCGCAGCACCAGAAAAGGAUUCUGAGGCUACAGAACAAGCCACAGAGGUGGCAGACACUACAGAACCUGAGCCUGCAGCUCCAGAGCCUGAAACAGAGACUGUUACAGGGGAGGCCCCAGAACCUGAGGCUGUGCCCAAGGCACCAGUAGAGGCAGAAGCAGCUUCACCCGCACUGGAGGAGGAGCCUUCAUCAGUUGCAGAAGCUGUGUCAGAGUCAGCCACAGAGGCAGCCGCAGAACCAGAAACCGUCCCAGAACCAGCCGCUAAAGAGCUCCCCCUACCUGUAGAAGAAUCCGUAGCAGAGCUUGAACCUGAAGCUGCUGAUGCAGUAACAGAGGCAGCAGAGCCAGAGGCUGCCGACAUUGCAGAAUUCAUCCCGGAGAUCAUCAUUUCAGAAUCUGCUGCACCUGCUGCUGCAGAGGAGACCAGCGCUGGGCCACAGGAGGCUGUGCUGGACAACAGGGAAGUUGUUUCCGCAGAGGAGGCUACUGCUGAGCCUUCUGCCCCUGAGGUCAAUGGGGAGUGUCAGGAGCAGGCAGCCGAGCCGGCUGCCGUGUCUGCCCCGGAGCCACAACAAAAGGAAUGUGUCAAUGGCAUUGACAAGCCAGAGGAUGCCGUUGAGGUGCAAAUUGACUGUGAAUUAAAAAAGGACUUGAACCUGACUGGCGACAUCCAGAUUCCUGAGGCAAUCGGUGAGGCAAUAAGUCAGGCUGUUGACUUGGUCUGA